AUGCAGAAAGGGUUCCCGAGAGAGGGUCGGAACGCUCCCCUUACCGGAGGGCCCUCGCCUUCCACUGGAUGGGAAGCAAACUCCGACUUCAGAGGCACGGGGUUUGGCCUGCCACCCAGAGCCUUCCUUCCCGGCGUCGCAUCUCCCAGCGGGCCCACCGCUGAUUCUGCACACCCCGACGCAGUCACCGGGGAGGCGGAGCAGGCUGGGACCAGGACAGCCAGCUCCCCGAAGUCACGUCCACAGCGCCCCGGGACGGCGGACGCUCCCCGGGUCCGCGCGGGCACGUCAGCUUCGGUGGGGGCAGGGGGCGCGCAGCCGGCAGCCUCGAGAACCAGCGACUCCGACGCGGACGCGCCAACCACUGCCGUUAACUUUGCCGCCAGCGGGACUUCCGGCGCGAGGCGGGGCGGCUGGCGGCUGGCGGCUUCCGGCUUCCAGGACCCGGUCCUCCUCCCGCCGCAGCCCGCCCCUCCUCCCGGCCCCGGUCCCGGUCCCGGCCCCGGCCCCGGUCCCGGUCCCGGUCCCGGACCCCCUCGCCACCCCGAGGCCCCGCCCCCUGCCCGGGUCCCCCUCGCCACCCCGAGGCCCCGCCCCCUGCCCGGUCCCCCUCGCCACCCCGAGGCCCCGCCCCCUGCCCGGUCCCCCUCGCCACCCCGAGGCCCCGCCCCCUGCCCGGUCCCCCUCGCCACCCCGAGGCCCCGCCUCCCGACCACUCAGGCCCCGCCCCCUGGCCCCUCCUUUCCCUCCUCCCCUCCCCCCGUUCCAUCUAAUUGUUGGAUUGUCGGCGCUGCACUCCCGCUGGAGGCCGGCAGGGGGCAGGGUUCGAGCCUGGAUUUUCUUCCGCCGGGCGUCCCCGGGGAGGCCGUCGCCGAGAGGGAGAGGGGGAGGGGGGAGGGGAGGGCGGGACGCGAGGACGCGGUUCGGUCGGCUGCUGCGCUACUUUUGGCCCCGGGUCGGCGGGGAGGCUGUGGCUGCCGCAUCAGAGCUGACGUGGGGGCGACGCGGGGCCCCGGGGGCGCCGGGCUGCCGGGCUCGCCGUCCCCACCUCCUCCCGCCCGUAAGCAGUGA
rnacentral:lncRNA from 1 species